CGCCUAGUCCUGCCGCUGCCCGGGGGCUUCGAACGAACUCUGUACGGCAGGAGUGGGGGACCCACAGGUAAGUCGCCGUCCCGUCAGCCGGGACGGCUUGGGGUGAAGCCGCGCUUGCGGCCGGGCAACUCCAGCCCGAACCCGACAGCUCACCUCGCAGGCGUCGGAGAGGAAAUAC
rnacentral:sRNA from 2 species